rnacentral:rRNA from 1 species
CAGAGGGGGCAAGCGUUGUUCGGAAUUACUGGGCGUAAAGGGCGCGUAGGCGGCCUGCUAAGUCGAACGUGAAAUCCCUGGGCUCAACCCAGGAACUGCGUCCGAUACUGGUUGGCUUGAAUCCGGGAGAGGGAUGUGGAAUUCCAGGUGUAGCGGUGAAAUGCGUAGAUAUCUGGAGGAACACCGGUGGCGAAGGCGGCAUCCUGGACCGGUAUUGACGCUGAGGCGCGAAAGCCAGGGGAGCAAACAGGAUUAGAUACCCCGGUAGUCCUGGCCCUAAACGAUGAAUGCUUGGUGUGGCGGGUAUCGAUCCCUGCCGUGCCGAAGCUAACGCAUUAAGCAUUCCGCCUGGGGAGUACGGUCGCAAGGCUG